CUCAAGCUACACCCACUGUGGCUCACAGUUUCUUCUGCUGCCCGUGAAUCUACAUGUCAAACUCUGAGCUCCUUCUCCAGCACCAUGCCUGCCUGCAUGCCACCAUGCUUCCAUGAUAAUGGACUAAACCUCUGAAUCUAAUGUAUCUCUAGGCUGAUCCAGUGCCACAGAGCUCCAUACUCAAAUACUGCUGGGAGAGAGCUGGUCUCCAGGAGUGCUGACACACUUGUGAGCACACCCCUGUGAGCACAGGGACUGUUUCGUAUGGACACCAGAGUCAAUCUAAAGUGGAAGUACAGUCUUCAACUUUGCAUUACUAAAGAAUGCUUCCGGGAUGAAUUCACAGAAGACAGAGAUGUCACAAUACAGUCAUCACAAUGUCAACAAGACCAAAAAGCACUCAGCUUUCCCCAAACUCAUCCACGCAGUUUAAGCAAUUCUUCCUACUGGUACAUGUGGGGAUGGGGAAGGGGGUGAGAAGGGCUCUAAGCAACAUUAAAUUCACAUUUAAAAUUCCUAAA